rfam:Trichobilharzia regenti genome assembly, scaffold: TRE_scaffold0006340
GUACUGAUGAAGAGUCCCAAACUAGGACGAAACAGCAGUCCAGUAC